GCCGGGUGUAGUGGUGUACACCUGUAAUCCUAGAGGCUUGGGAGGAUGAGGCAGGAGGAUUGAUUGCUAGUUCAGAACCAGCCUCAGCAACAGCAAAGCGCCGAACAACUCAGUGAGACCUUGUCUCUA
rnacentral:sRNA from 1 species